UUUCUCUAUCUUUAGUUCUCUCUAGAACCUUCCCCCUUCCGCUCUGCUCCGAUGAGUUUCACUCACCUUCUCUGACCACCUCCUGGCUUGAAUCUAUGGUGGUCCCACCACCUACCAGCUUUACAUGGUGCAUACACGCUUAGUUACUGAGAUUUCAUGGUCUGACCACGAAGAAGCUUCAUCCACACCUUGUUGAUUCAAGUUUUAUGGCCAUCUCCGGCCUUGCUCCAGCAAACCAUAUCUGUUUUGAGCCUGGCUUCGACCCCUCCUGCUUAGAUCAGCAACUAUCC
rnacentral:lncRNA from 1 species